rnacentral:rRNA from 1 species
CUCUGUGACUCCUACGGGAGGCAGCAGUGGGGAAUAUUGCACAAUGGACGCAAGCCUGAUGCAGCAACGCCGUGUGAGUGAAGAAGGUUUUCGGAUCGUAAAACUCUGUCCUAAGGGAAGAAACAAAUGACGGUACCUUAGGAGGAAGCCCCGGCUAACUACGUGCCAGCAGCCGCGGUAAUACGUAGGGGGCAAGCGUUAUCCGGAAUCACUGGGCGUAAAGGGUGCGUAGGCGGCUUAGCAAGCCAGGGGUGAAAGGCAUUGGCUCAACCAAUGUAAGCCUUUGGAACUGUUAAGCUUGAGUGCAGGAGAGGUAAGUGGAAUUCCUAGUGUAGAGGUGAAAUUCGUAGAUAUUAGGAGGAACACCAGUGGCGAAGGCGACUUACUGGACUGUAACUGACGCUGAUGCACGAAAGCGUGGGUAGCGAACAGGAUUAGAUACCCUGUAG